GAUGAACGCUGGCGGCGUGCCUAAUACAUGCAAGUCGAGCGAAUGGAUUGAGAGCUUGCUCUUAUGAAGUUAGCGGCGGACGGGUGAGUAACACGUGGGUAACCUGCCCAUAAGACUGGGAUAACUCCGGGAAACCGGGGCUAAUACCGGAUAACAUUUUGAGCCGCAUGGUUCGAAAUUGAAAGGCGGCUUCGGCUGUCACUUAUGGAUGGACCCGCGUCGCAUUAGCUAGUUGGGGAGUUAACGGCUCACCAAGGCAACGAUGCGUAGCCGACCUGAGAGGUGGAUCAGCCACACUGGGACUGAGACACGGCCCAGACUCCUAAGGGAGGCAGCAGUAGGGAAUAUUCCGAAAUGGACGAAAGUCUAACGGAGCAACGCCGCGUGAGUGAUGAAGGCUUUCGGGUCGUAAAACUCUGUUGUUAGGGAAGAACAAGUGCUAGUUGAAUAAGCUGGCACCUUGACGGUACCUAACCAGAAAGCCACGGCUAACUACGUGCCAGCCGCCGCCGUAA
rnacentral:rRNA from 1 species